rnacentral:lncRNA from 1 species
AAUUAAACAAAUGAAAAAGAGAUUUUUUUCUUUGAAUUUUUUUUUUUUUGUUUUUGGGGAAAAUAUAGAAACUUUCUUGUAAAUAUCUAUUUUUUUAUUUUUUCUUCUUAACUUUAAAAAAUCUAUAAGUUGUCCCUUUAAAAUUUCAAAAAUAUUUUUAAGGAGUACAACCUUAAUGGAGAGUGCAAAAGCCACCAAAUUAUCUUUACUUCUUUUAUAAGAAAAAUAUUUUUUUAAUAUAUUUCUAUCAUUUUAAAAGAUAUUUUCGAUAUAAAUUAUAAUAAAUGGACAGAAUAGUAAUAAAACUCUGAUAAAAAGGAGGGGCGCUAAAUAUAAUAACUUAAAAUAUUGAGGAGGUAAAAUAUAAAUUUUUAAAAAUUAUAAAAAAAAAAGUUUAAAAAAAAUUACAUAUUUAUAAGAAAAUUUUCUAUAAUUUAACCAAUAAAAAAGCAGAAAUAGGGGCAUUUUGGGAGUAA